rnacentral:rRNA from 1 species
CAGCCGCCACGGGAAUACGGAGGGUGCAAGCGUUAAUCGGAAUUACUGGGCGUAAAGCGCACGCAGGCGGUUUGUUAAGUCAGAUGUGAAAUCCCCGAGCUUAACUUGGGAACUGCAUUUGAAACUGGCAAGCUAGAGUCUUGUAGAGGGGGGUAGAAUUCCAGGUGUAGCGGUGAAAUGCGUAGAGAUCUGGAGGAAUACCGGUGGCGAAGGCGGCCCCCUGGACAAAGGCUGACGCUCAGGUGCGAAAGCGUGGGGAGCAAACAGGAUUAGAUACCCGGGUAGUCCCUGUCUCUUAUAC